GCGGGUCUCCACCUGGCCCGGCUCAGGCCUCCUUCCCUGCCCUCCACCGGCUUGCAGGUCCUCUGAGGCCCAACAGGGAGGAGGCAGGAGGAGCAGAGGCCUGCCCAGCUGCAUGUGGUUGUGGGGACAGACCACCCGCAGGGACUGGCAUCUGUGAGCCACCUUUGAAAACCAGAGAACAGAAUGCCUCCAUCUCUAAGCCACAAAUUAAGACAGUCCAGGCAGGCAAAAUAAGUGAACGACAUACCACGGUGUCUUAUUUAAUGACUCCCUGGCAACUAAGCUCCCUCAUAAUAAACAAAUGAACAGGCACGAUUCACCAGCCACUCAGAGCUGGGUGUUAGGUUAGUACUCAGCCAGAGGCUUGGGGAUGUUUAUGGGAAGCAGGUGGAAAAUUGCUUGGGAGGGCACGUGUGUAAUUAAUGGAUAAACUCAAGCACCUUAAGGCAAAUUAAUUUGUCUCCAACCUUGAACUUCUUAGCCAGGGAUCUGGGGAGGAGAGGAAGAGGAAGAGUGACAAGCAUCCUUGAAAUGGCACCUUGUACAUCCCUGUGUCCUCCUGAGGAAAGACGGGAACCACAUGGGGCUCCUGUGUGUACCACGGCUGUUCUGGAAGCUUCCCCAUGCCCUGCUUAUUGGAUCUGUGAUAGCCAACGUGACUUGAGGGGGUUCUGAAGGCCAGACGUCGCCAUCAAGGUGUCAGCAAUGUCAGCUGCUCCUGAGGCCCCUGGGGGGAAGCCGCCCAGGCCUCCCCCCGCUCUGGUGGCUGCUGGCCACCCUCAGUGUUCCUGGCCUCGUGGACACAACUGAGCCCCUGCCUCUGCCGUCAAGCGAUUCUCUUCCUUGUGUGUGUCUUGGUCCGAAUGUCCUUCUUGAAAGGACACCAGUUAUUGGAUUUAGGGCCUACUCUAAUCAAUAUGACCUCAUUUUUUUUUACAUUUUAUUUGUUUAUUUAAUUGAAACAUAGCUUAUAUAUAGUAUUAUAUCAGUUUUAAGUAUAUGACAGUGAUUCAACAGUAAUCUACACUUUUAAAUGCU